ensembl:lncRNA novel transcript
CUGGAUGGUGCCUCUCAAACAAAAGUCCAAUUCCCAUGGGAUGCCUUCUCCAAACAGCUAUAUUUCUAGCUUCUCUCCUUCCCCUUUUAGACCUAGGACUGCCAAAGCUUCCCUAUUGCUGCUAGUCAUGGAGUACUGCACUACCGCCUGUAGUUUCCCUUCACUCUAUCCACGCAUUUCAUGAACUCUCUUCAAAUUACUCCAUAUGGGUAGCCAUCGACUUCUUACCAAGGCCCUGACUGAGACACUUUCAUUCUUUUAAAAAUAUCCGAGUCAACUAAUAUAUUAAAAUAGACCAGCAUCUCUUCUCAA